AUUGAACGCUGGCGGCAGGCUUAACACAUGCAAGUCGAACGAGUGGCGGACGGGUGAGUAAUGCUUGGGAAUCUGGCUUAUGGAGGGGGAUAACUACUGGAAACUGUAGCUAAUACCGCGUACCAUAGGAUGAGCCCACGUGGGAUUAGGUAGUUGGUGCGGUAAAGGCUCACCAAGCCGACGAUCUCUAGCUGGUCUGAGAGGAUGACCGGCACCACUGGGACUGAGACACGGUCCAGACUCCUACGGGAGGCAGCAGUGGGGAAUAUUGCGCAAUGGGGGCAACCUGACGCAGCCAUGCCGCGUGAAUGAAGAAGGCCUUCGGGUUGUAAAGUUCUUUCGGUGGCGAGGCGUUAACCGCAGAAGAAGCACCGGCUAACUCCGUGCCAGCAGCCGCGGUAAUAC
rnacentral:rRNA from 1 species